GAUGAACGCUAGCGGCAGGCCUAACACAUGCAAGUCGAACGGUAACAGAAAAAGCUUGCUUUUUGCUGACGAGUGGCGAACGGGUGCGUAACGCGUAUGCAACCUACCUUUUUCUAAGGAAUAGCCCAGAGAAAUUUGGAUUAAUACCUUAUAAUAAUAUUCAUUCGCAUGUUUGAAUAUUUAAAGCUUUUGCGGAAAAAGAUGGGCAUGCGUGACAUUAGUUUGUUGGUGAGGUAACGGCUCACCAAGACUACGAUGUCUAGGGGUUCUGAGAGGAUGAUCCCCCACACUGGUACUGAGACACGGACCAGACUCCUACGGGAGGCAGCAGUGAGGAAUAUUGGUCAAUGGACGAAAGUCUGAACCAGCCAUGCCGCGUGAAGGAUGACGGCCCUACGGGUUGUAAACUUCUUUUGUAUAGGAAGAAACCCCCCUACGUGUAGGGGGCUGACGGUACUAUACGAAUAAGCACCGGCUAACUCCGUGCCAGCCGCCGCCGUAACAC
rnacentral:rRNA from 1 species